GCAGAAGGGCCUGGCAGAAUAAAGUUGCUUAGCUCAUAGUGGCCAGGAAGCAGAGAGGGGAAUUGUGCCAAUGAGGUGGGUGAGGGACCAGAAGAAGACGCACCCAGAAACACUCCAAAGUAUGCUUUACUAAUUCCUACAGCAACCCCCAAGUCAGUCCAGUUGGCAAUUAAAGUUAACCAUCACAGUAGCUAGGUGUGAGGCAAAAAACUGAAUCAGGCUUAAGCCUUGCCUACAUAAAGAUGCUGGCUGCCAGCCUUUCUCACGGGACUCUUAUGAGGGCUUGAAGCUGAUAAAGAACUCCUCCAAAGAGUUGUCAAGAGGCCUCUCAGCUGCCGUUUUUGAACACAUGAAGCAUGGCUGCCAACGAAACACCUCAGUGAGGCACCUGCCUCCCUAUGUGACGAGAAGCCCUUCCUGUUCAAGUAUGGAUGAGUCACCCCAAUAAAAAG